CAUGAAAUUGAGCCUGCAAACCUGCUAAAUUUAAGCAUAUAAGUAGGUGGUGGAAAACAAACCAAAUGGGAUUCUUCAAGUAAUGGCGAAUGAACCUAGAUAUGCUCAAUUUGAAAAAUACAGUGAKACUGUKYGRCAKGUMAUUUCAAAAUGUACAACCAAUUGGCAUGCAAGUGGAAGCUCAUUGAAAGAAUGCGUCGAAGAAGGUGAAAAUCCAUUUUGCCACUUGUAAUGUUGUUGUUUAUGGUGUAUAUUUCAGGAGUCACAUUCCUUGGCAUUGGAAUGCAAUGUGGGUGGUAAACUUCAUGCAAAGAUUAAUAUGUGUUUGAGAUUGAUAGUACACAAAUACCGUGAGGGAAAUAUGAAAAGGACUUUGAAAAGAGAUUUAAAAGAGUUUGCAGUUGCUGAACAAAAAACAAAUAGGAUGUCCACGAUUGAGCAGAUUGUUGAACCUCGGUUUGCUUCGAUUGCUAGCAUGUGUGUAUUCAAUGAUUCUAUCUUUGUCUACCAUACCAUUCUCAGCGUAUCAUGACACUUGCAGGUGCUUCGUGUUUUUGCUUGCGAGCUAAUGACAACACCUGCUUGAGAAUGGUAUGCCAAGUGUUCAUUGUGCUUAGAGUCUGCAUGGUGCUAUUGUUAAGCUGCAGGUUUGAACUUGUGCUUUGAGCUGUGCUCUACCUUUUUGCAUA
rnacentral:rRNA from 1 species